rnacentral:rRNA from 1 species
GACGAACGCUGGCGGCGUGCUUAACACAUGCAAGUCGAACGGAAAGGCCCUGCUUUUGUGGGGUGCUCGAGUGGCGAACGGGUGAGUAACACGUGAGUAACCUGCCCUUGACUUUGGGAUAACUUCAGGAAACUGGGGCUAAUACCGGAUAGGAGCUCCUGCUGCAUGGUGGGGGUUGGAAAGUUUCGGCGGUUGGGGAUGGACUCGCGGCUUAUCAGCUUGUUGGUGGGGUAGUGGCUUACCAAGGCUUUGACGGGUAGGCGGCCUGAGAGGGUGACCGGCCACAUGGGGACUGAGGUACGGACCAGUGUCCUACGGGAGGCAGCAGGGGGGAAUAUUGCACAGUGGGCGGAAGCGUGAGGCAGCAACGCCGCGUGCGGGAUGACGGCCUUCGGGUUGUAAACCGCUUUCGCCUGUGACGAAGCGUGAGUGACGGUAAUGGGUAAAGAAGCACCGGCUAACUACGUG